AUGUAAAAACAAACCUUAAGCUGAAAACUGAAAACAGAUGAUCUAGACCAUUGAAUUUUUAUUUUGUAAUCUUGACCGUCCAUUCUCUCUGCUCUAUUUUUAUCUUUCUUCAAUCUCACGAUCUCACUAUUUCUCUCUCCUCCUCCCAAAAAAUCAUCAAAUUUCAGAGGAAUUUGCUUCAAUCUUCAUCAAUAAUUUGCUUCAAUCUUCAUCAAUUUCGUCUUUAGCUUCAAAAUUGAACCUGAAAAGUGAGUUUUGCGUUUCAACAAUCAAUUAUGUGAGUUAAUCAUUUUCGUCGCUGAAUAUUCAUCCCAUUGAAGCGAGUUUUGAGCUUUCUCCUCCAUUGAAGCGAGUUUGAGCUUUCUCGAUCCUCCAUUGAAGCGACUUUGAGCUUUCUUCUCCAUUGAAGCGGCUUCUCAGUCCUCUUUGGCUCUGGUGGUGGCUUUCAAGAUUCUUGAAACCAGAGGUCUAGGGUUCAAGGACUGGUGGAAAAACAGCUACAGAGGAAAGAUACUAGAUGAGUGCAAGUUCUGUGGCAGGGAGGGUACUAUUACAAUGAUACCAAAAUCUGGCCGCUAUCUAACAGGUGAUGACUGUGAAGCUGGAAAGUUUGUCCGUUUGAUGAGCUUUGAUUGCCGGGGUUUGGAGCCAGUGGACUACUCCUUUGGUGGUGACAAGGAGGAGCAGGAGAAAUUAUCCGAUGACAAGGAGGAGCAUGAGAAAUUAUCUGAUGACAAGGAGGCCAG